CUGAGUAAUGCAUCGGAACGUGCCCAGUCGUGGGGGAUAACGCAGCGAAAGCUGUGCUAAUACCGCAUACGAUCUAUGGAUGAAAGCGGGGGACCUUCGGGCCUCGCGCGAUUGGAGCGGCCGAUGUUAGAUUAGGUAGUUGGUGGGGUAAAGGCUCACCAAGCCGACGAUCUAUAGCUGGUCUGAGAGGACGACCAGCCACACUGGAACUGAGACACGGUCCAGACUCCUACGGGAGGCAGCAGUGGGGAAUUUUGGACAAUGGGCGAAAGCCUGAUCCAGCAAUACCGCGUGCAGGAAGAAGGCCCUCGGGUUGUAAACUGCUUUUGUACGGAACGAAACGGCGUGCUCUAAUAAAGUGCGCUAUGACGGUACCGUAAGAAUAAGCACCGGCUAACUACGUGCCAGCAGCCGCGGUAAUACGUAGGGUGCAAGCGUUAAUCGGAAUUACUGGGCGUAAAGCGUGCGCAGGCGGUUUUGUAAGACAGGCGUGAAAUCCCCGGGCUUAACCUGGGAAUUGCGCUUGUGACUGC
rnacentral:rRNA from 1 species